rnacentral:rRNA from 1 species
AACGGCGAGUGAAGCGGCAACAGCUCAAAUUUGAAAUCUGGCCUUCGGGUCCGAGUUGUAAUUUGCAGAGGAUGCUUUUGGCGCGGUGCCUUCCGAGUUCCCUGGAACGGGACGCCUUAGAGGGUGAGAGCCCCGUACGGUUGGACACCAAGCCUCUGUAAAGCUCCUUCGACGAGUCGAGUAGUUUGGGAAUGCUGCUCUAAAUGGGAGGUAAAUUUCUUCUAAAGCUAAAUAUUGGCCAGAGACCGAUAGCGCACAAGUAGAGUGAUCGAAAGAUGAAAAGCACUUUGAAAAGAGGGUUAAAUAGCACGUGAAAUUGUUGAAAGGGAAGCGUUUGCGACCAGACCUCUUCAUGGCGGAUCAUCCGGUGUUCUCACCGGUGCACUUCGCCACGUCGAGGCCAGCAUCGGUUUCUGUAGGGGGAUAAAAGCUCUGGGAACGUAGCUCCUCCGGGAGUGUUAUAGCCCUCUGCAUAAUACCUUUACGGGGACCGAGGACCGCGCUUUAUUGCAAGGAUGCUGGCGUAAUGGUCGUCAACGACCCGUCUUGAAACACGGACCAAGGAGUCGAACAUUUAUGCGAGUGUUUGGGUGUUAAACCCUCACGCGUAAUGAAGGUGAACGCAGGUGAGAGCCCUUACGGGUGCAUCAUCGACCGAUCCUGAUGUCUUCGGAUGGAUUUGAGUAAGAGCAUAGCUGUUCGGACCCGAAAGAUGGUGAACUAUGCGUGGAUAGGGUGAAGCCAGAGGAAACUCUGGUGGAGGCUCGCAGCGGUUCUGACGUGCAAAUCGAUCGUCAAAUCUGCGCAUGGGGGCGAAAGACUUAUCGAACCAUCUAGUAGCUG